rnacentral:rRNA from 1 species
UACGGGGGGGGUAAGCGGUUGUUCGGAAUUACUGGGCGUAAAGCGCACGUAGGCGGCUACUCAAGUCAGAGGUGAAAGUCCAGGGCUCAACCUUGGAACUGCCUUUGAAACUAGGUAGCUAGAAUUCUGGAGAGGUCAGUGGAAUUCCGAGUGUAGAGGUGAAAUUCGUAGAUAUUCGGAAGAACACCAGUGGCGAAGGCGAACUAACUGGACAUGUAUUGACGCUGAGGUGCGAAAGCGUGGGGAGCAAACAGG